rnacentral:lncRNA from 1 species
UUAAAGAAAGAAGGGCAUUAUGGGUAUGAAAAACAUUUCUGUAAUUAAAAAAAGUUAUAAGCUAAUCUAGUAAUAAAAACAAUAUUUAGUGUUAUUUGAGUAAUCUUCCCUUUUUUCUUUCGUAAAAAAAAAACUCGUGGAAGUAUUAGAAAAUAUGUGAGCUCUCGAAAACUUGAAUAACAUUUCAAUGGAGUAAUAUAAACAGAAAUAAUUUCUAAAACUAAACAUAUUUUUACUUAAAACCAACAGAAACUUCAGAAACUGAAUUUUCUUUUUGGUAUUCUUGCCACGUUCUCAGAAAUUGAAUUCCUUUGAAAAAUCAAAAUCUCAGAGAGUGAACAAAUUAUAAAAACAAACUUAUAGAGUUUUUUUCUAACACCACAAACUUAGAGAGUUACUGAAGGCAUAAUUGAUGUUCUUGUCAUGAAAAUAAAAAAACAAAUCUUUAUAAGAAAAAAAAAGAAAAAAAAGACUAAAACUCUAAUCUCUCUUCUCUCUGGCGGCCGCCGGAAAUCAACAUUUUUCUUUUCUAUUCUUCUCAUGUCUCAUGUUCUUAUUUGUUAUCUUCUUGUAUUAUUUAUCUGCGUUUUGUGGUCGCGGUGAGAUUAUUUUGAUUAUUUUUGAGUCAGAUUUUGUAGCUUACGAGCAAAUCCGAUGAUUUUCGACGAGUACUAUCUCGGUGUGGCAAUGUGUGUUUGUCUACUCAGGUUUCUAUAUGGAUUCUGACCAGAGUUUUUAAGAGUUUCUGGCUCGUGGUGGAGCAAAGGUCUUCUCGUUAAGUUCUGGAUUCUUGUGGAAUGACG